rnacentral:rRNA from 1 species
UACGUAGGCAGCGAGCGUUGUUCGGAGUUACUGGGCGUAAAGCGUGCGUAGGCGGUUUUCUAAGUUUGGUGUGAAAUCUCCCGGCUUAACCGGGAGGGUGCGCCGAAAACUGGGAGGCUGGAGUAUGGGAGAGGUAGGCGGAAUUCCUGGUGUAGCGGUGAAAUGCGUAGAUAUCAGGAGGAACACCUGUGGUGUAGACGGCUUACUGGACCAUGACUGACGCUGAGGCACGAAAGCGUGGGGAGCAAACAGGAUUAGAAACCCCCGUAGUCC